rnacentral:rRNA from 1 species
UCGAGUAAAGUUCUAGAGAAGAAAAAAAUUGAUGAUGACAAACUUCUUUUCUAUAUGUCUUGACCAAAUUACGUGCCAGCAGUCGCGGUAAUACGUAAAAGACUAGUGUUAUUCAUCUUUAGUAGGUUUAAAGGGUACCUAGACGGUAUAAUUAGUCUUAAACAAGAAACGGUUAUGCUAGAGUUAUAUAUGAGAAGGGGAGUAUUUAUGGAGUAGAGUUGAAAUUCUUUGAUCCCAUAACGACUGGUAACGGCGAAAGCAACCUUUUAUCUAAUAACUGACGUUGAGGGACGAAGGCUCGGGUCACGAACAGGAUUAGAUACCCUAGUAGUCCAAGCAGAGAAUGAUGAAUGCCAUAUAUAAAUGAAAGUGUAAGCAUUUCACCUCAAGAGUAAUGUGGCAACGCAGGAACUGAAAUCAUUAGACCGUUUCUGAAACCAGUAGUGAAGUAUGUUAUUUAAUUCGUAAGUACGCGAAAAACCUUACCACACAAGCGUUGCACGGCUGUCUUCAGUUAAUGUCGUGAGAUAUUGGUUAAUUCCAUUAAAUUAACNNAAACCC